rnacentral:rRNA from 1 species
CCCUUGAGGCGUGGCUUCCGGAGCUAACGCGUUAAGUCGACCGCCUGGGGAGUACGGCCGCAAGGUUAAAACUCAAAUGAAUUGACGGGGGCCCGCACAAGCGGUGGAGCAUGUGGUUUAAUUCGAUGCAACGCGAAGAACCUUACCUGGUCUUGACAUCCACGGAAGUUUUCAGAGAUGAGAAUGUGCCUUCGGGAACCGUGAGACAGGUGCUGCAUGGCUGUCGUCAGCUCGUGUUGUGAAAUGUUGGGUUAAGUCCCGCAACGAGCGCAACCCUUAUCCUUUGUUGCCAGCGGUCCGGCCGGGAACUCAAAGGAGACUGCCAGUGAUAAACUGGAGGAAGGUGGGGAUGACGUCAAGUCAUCAUGGCCCUUACGACCAGGGCUACACACGUGCUACAAUGGCGCAUACAAAGAGAAGCGACCUCGCGAGAGCAAGCGGACCUCAUAAAGUGCGUCGUAGUCCGGAUUGGAGUCUGCAACUCGACUCCAUGAAGUCGGAAUCGCUAGUAAUCGUGGAUCAGAAUGCCACGGUGAAUACGUUCCCGGGCCUUGUACACACCGCCCGUCACACCAUGGGAGUGGGUUGCAAAAGAAGUAGGUAGCUUAACCUUCGGGAGGGCGCUUACCACUUUGUGAUUCAUGACUGGGGUGAAGUCGUAACAAGGUAACCGUAGGGGAACCUGCGGUUGGAUCAC